CCUACGGGAGGCAGCAGUGGGGAAUAUUGGACAAUGGGCGAAAGCCUGAUCCAGCGACGCCGCGUGGGUGAAGAAGGCCUUCGGGUUGUAAAGCCCUUUAAGCCGGGACGAAAAAAUCGGCGAUAACAUCGCCGGUCUUGACGGUACCGGAAGAAUAAGCACCGGCUAACCCUGUGCCAGCAGCCGCGGUAAU
rnacentral:rRNA from 1 species